rnacentral:rRNA from 1 species
UACGUAGGGUGCAAGCGUUAAUCGGAAUUACUGGGCGUAAAGCGUGCGCAGGCGGUUAUGCAAGACAGAUGUGAAAUCCCCGGGCUUAACCUGGGAACUGCAUUGGUGACUGGCAGGCUAGAGUAUGGCAGAGGGGGGUAGAAUUCCACGUGUAGCAGUGAAAUGCGUAGAGAUGUGGAGGAAUACCGAUGGCGAAGGCAGCCCCCUGGGCCAAUACUGACGCUCAUGCACGAAAGCGUGGGGAGCAAACAGG